rnacentral:lncRNA from 1 species
UGCCUCACCAAUCACAACGGGAAAUGUGGAUGAUUCUGUCUCUUUGUAUUCUGCAGAUGGGUCACGACAACCAGUGAUUUUGAGCUCAGUUGUAUCGAUAUUUAUUUGCGACCUACUGAUUCAACCAAAAGAGGAGCUGGAGUGUCUGAGAUAUGCUCAGCUGGCAAUCUUCCACCAAUCAGUGUCUUAAGCCCAGACCUGGAAAUGGAGCAGUGGAUUUUAUGGGAAACAAACACCAAUGAUAAGAUUCUUAAUCUAUCAACAGACUCUGAUGAAAGAAACCUGUUUGGGAGGAAACACAGCAUCACCUGUACCCAUAAUCAUGUCUUCCCAAUACUUUGAGGUAGGUAAGCAAUAAAGCAGUAUGAGGCAAGCUUAGUGACAUACCAAGCUUCACAUCUUUGUACCAAUGUUUAGCAUUGGGAACAUGACUGAUGGGACUGAUCAGAUGAUCUGUUCAUUUCUUCAGUUCUUAAAUGCCAUGGAUCUAAAAGAAUGAAAACAGGGUAUAAAGAGGACACUCGAGGAGGAUGAUCAUCACGUGUCUCCCGGCUCUUUGGUAGGAAAAUCCAGUUAAGAUGUAAAUGUCAAGAGACCGCAGUUUUGGGAUUGAGGUUUUUCUACAAUUUUAAUGCAAUCUUAUCACAUCUUAAAGACCACAGAUGCCCAGCUUUCCUUUGAAGGUCACUCAUGGCCCACAGUCAUGUCCUGACUUCUUCCAGGUGAUGCUCUUUCCAGCCCCCCUCCCUGUUCCUCGGUCUGAGAUGGCAG